rnacentral:lncRNA from 1 species
GCGGGUGAGGCGCGGCGAGAAUUCGAUCGCGGCGCGGGCGGGCCUGCCGUGCUGGGGGAGCCGGGGCACCCUCCGCAGCUGCUGGCCCCGGUGCUAAGCCCCUUACUGCUGGUGGCCGGUGGCGCGGCCGGCCGCUCCGAGUGCGGGCCCGCCUAGCCCAGCGCCCACCCGGAACCGGCGCCGGCCCGUGAGCACCGCGUGCAGCACCGGCUCCCGCCCGCGCCUUUCUCUCCACACCUCCCUGCGAGGAGAGGGAGCCGGCUGCGGCCUCGGCCAGUCCCAUAGUGGGACCCCUCCAGCGCAGCGGACGGCUGAAGGGGUCCUUGAGCGCGGCCACUGCUUGAGCGCGGCCAGAGUGGACGCCGAGGCCGAGGAGGCGCGGAGAGAGAGCGAGGACUGCUAGCACGUUGUCACCUCUCAAUCUCCUCCGGGAGUGGUGGGCAGCUACUGUGAAAGGCCUGGUUCAAAAACCUCACAGCGGUUGUUUUCAGAGUUGUCCCUCCUGUGUACUCUCAAAGCCCCAGAAUGAAGCAAAGCAUCCUCCCUUUUCAAACUGGCACUCUUCCCCAACCUUGAGGACCACUAGGCACUUUGUUUUUAAAGCCACAGCAGAGGAAGCUCACCUAUGGCUACUGCCACUACAGGUCCACAGGGAGUAAUGCCCGGCUACCACUGAUGUUCAUUAAGACCCAAGGGUUCUUCAGUCGGCUUGUGGUAGAUGCUGCCUGGCCUGGGACUCACCCUUCAGGACAGUGGGCUCCCUUCUGGCCCAAGGCAGGUCCAGAAUUACUGUCCAGGAGCCAAGGCUUUGAAUCAGGGACCUCAAGAGCCCGCUUGAUGUUCUACCCCACUAUGGCUGCGCCUGUACCUAAGGUGCAAAAGUCCCCUUUACUUUUCCCUCUACUUUUCUCCAGCAUAAGGAGUCUCUCCCCAUAGCCACCAUGGCUGGAAAUGUGCUGAGUCUCAUUUGAAGCCAGCUAGUCUCAGAGUCUCACAGAAGGCCCACUGCAUACCUAGGUAUCGCUGGUAUCGCUGGCUAUUUGGAGCUUAAGAGCUCUUCAAUCCUCUGACAUCUUGAUUGCAGCCUUUGAGAGACCCUGGGCCAGAGGAUCCAGCUAUUGCCAUGCUUAAAUUUCCAACCCAAAUGUAACUGUGAGAUAAAUGUUGUUUUAAGCCACUAAUUUUUUUAAUUACUGUAUUAAUUUUAACAGAUAAUACAAUAAGAGUUUUAAAAUAAAAAUUUUGAUAUUACAAUAAUAUACUUCAUGGAUUAUUGUGACAUGUUGGAAUGCACUUACCCUCUUAGACCUGA